UACGUAGGGUGCAAGCGUUGUCCGGAAUUAUUGGGCGUAAAGAGCUCGUAGGCGGUUUGUCGCGUCUGCUGUGAAAACCCGGGGCUCAACUCCGGGCUUGCAUUCGAUACGGGCAGGCUAGAGUUCGGUAGGGGAGUCUGGAAUUCCUGGUGUAGCGGUGAAAUGCGCAGAUAUCAGGAGGAACACCGGUGGCGAAGGCGGGACUCUGGGCCGAUACUGACGCUGAGGAGCGAAAGCGUGGGGAGCGAACAGG
rnacentral:rRNA from 1 species